GAUUUGCAAUAGACAUGCGAGUAUUAAGUCUCUUAGGAAGGCUUUGCGAAAGGCUCAGUAACACGUCGCCAAACUGCCCUAUGGACAGGGAUAACCUCGGGAAACUGAGACUAAUCCCUGAUAGGUAUGGAAUCCUGGAAGGGGCCAAUACCAAAAUGGGCUUCGGUUCGCCAUAGGAUGUGGCAGCGGCUGAUUAGCUAGUAAGUGAUGUAAAGGAUCACUUAGGCAAUGAUCAGUAGGGGUUAUGAGAGUAAGCGCCCCGAGAAGGACACUGAGACACUGGUCCUAGCACUACGGUGUGCAGCAGUUAGGAAUUGUGCCCAAUGCGCGAAAGCGUGAGACCGCGAAUCUGAGUGCCAAGGAGAACCUUGGCUGUGAUGGAGUGUUCAAAGCUCCAACAGCAAGCAGAGGGCAAGGCUGGUGCCAGCCGCCGCGGUAAAACCAGCUCUGCGAGUGCCUAGCACGAUUAUUGGGCUUAAAGCAUCCGUAGCCGGGUAAGUAGGUCUCUGGUUAAAUCUGCAAGCUUAACUUGUAGGCUGUCAGAGAUACCGCUAACCUAGGGAAUAGGAGAGGUGAACGGUACUGCGAGAGAAGCGGUGAAAUGCGUUGAUUCUCGCAGGACCCACAGUGGCGAAGGCGGUUCACUGGAAUAUCUCCGACGGUGAUGGAUGAAAGCCAGGGGAGCGAAAGGGAUUAGAGACCCCUGUAGUCCUGGCCGUAANCGAUGAGGAUUAGGUGUUGGCCAUGNCUAANGGCCUGGUCAGUGCCAAAGGGNAACUAUUAAAUCCUCCNCCUGGGGGAGUACGGUCGCCAGGCUGAAACUUAAAUGAAU
rnacentral:rRNA from 1 species